rnacentral:rRNA from 1 species
AUCCUCAACGGCGAUUUCAAUAUGAUUGUUGCGGUGGCUGAGAAGAACAACAUGCACCUUAACUUGCGCAUGAUGAGGCGGUUCCGUUGUUUCAUGGCUGACAUGGAAUUGCGAGAUCUUCAUCUGCAUGGACGACGCUACACUUGGUCCAGUGAGCGUGAUAACCCAACUCUCGUCCGGAUCGAUCGAGUGCUUUGCACUCCAGCAUGGGAGGAAGCUAACCCCCACUGCCUUCCCCGAUGUCUUUCUUCCACGGCGUCGGAUCUCUAUCCCCUGAUGGUGGAUUGCACUGCGAGAUCUCCUGGGCCACGUCAUUUUCAAUUCGAGAAAUUUUUGCCCAAGAUGGAGGGAUUCUAG